CCUGACUGCAUUCGCAGGCUCUUUGGGCCGGGGACUCGGUGUGAUGUGCGCGGAUGGUCGCAUUGCUCUCUCCGGACUGGUCAAGAAUCUGCAAAAUCGAAGAGCGAUGUGGGAUCACUUAUUUUUGGUGGCACCAAUGGGAAAAAAACCAUCCAAUUUGCCAGGAAAGGUCCAUUGACACCAGACGGUCUACUGUGGGACAUUAAAGAGGACAAAAGAUUUUGUUGUUUUGCUCUCCCCCUAUGACAAUGAGUCAUGCAAGUGGAUUCCUCCCAUCAUCUGAGUUUGCAGCUCAGAGCACGUGUCAGGACGGGGAUAAUGAUCCCUAGCAAAAAGUAAAUGGUUAUCUCUAUGCUGCUUGGACUAGGAGGGCAAGGUUUUCUAGGCAUAAGCAAGAGAUCCCCAGUUGCUUAGCCUGUGUUAGCCCUAAUGGACAUCUAGAGCUUGCUUAUUGUAGAGGCUUCUAUUACUUUUUUAAACUUAAGAUAGUAGCUCAUUUGUGAAUAUAUGUUUAUCUGCUUUA